rnacentral:rRNA from 1 species
GACGAACCGUGCGAACGUUGUUCGGAUUCACUGGGCUUAAAGGGCGCGUAGGCGGGCCGGCAAGUCCGGGGUGAAAUCCCACGGCUCAACCGUGGAAUAGCCUUGGAUACUGCCGGUCUCGAGGGAGGUAGGGGCGUGUGGAACUUCCGGUGGAGCGGUGAAAUGCGUAGAUAUCGGGAGGAACACCAAUGGCGAAGGCAGCUCGCUGGGACGGUACUGACGCUGAGGCGCGAAAGCGUGGGGAGCAAACAGG